AUGCUCAAGGACCCUGUCAGGAUUGGAUGCCUCGUUUCGAUGGCCUUCAUGGUGCUCGGAACUAAAUACGAUUUGGUGUUGGAUCUGUUGCGUGUGGAAGGAUGUCAGAGGGAACGGAUUGGUUCAAUGGCGAGGGGUGUUGGGAUAAUGGGUGCUGGUGCAACAUGCUGCUUCGUCAUCAUACCCACUAUGCUACUGAGGCAAUGGAGGAUCAAGAUGAAGUAG
rnacentral:rRNA from 1 species